GAUUUUUAGGGAUUAGUUCUUGAUCACGCUAUGGGACGUCCCAAAUUAAGUAAGCUACUAUUAAAGGAGGGUGUUACACUUUUCUUUUUGCUACGGAUUAAAUGUUGAAGUGCUCUGCUGGAUUUAGACGAAAAGUGUUUUGUGGACAUUGCUUUAAUUUAUCAUUGUGGAUCUUAGAGCUAAUAAUACGGUGCUUAUUCAAAAGAAGGGAACACUAGAAGAGACAAAUGGAGAGGAGGAGGGAUGAACAUUCACAAGCCAGCGGAUCAAAACCAGCAAAUGUGGAGAAUCUUAUUAAAAGGAGGAGUAUGAGUCAACCUCGGUAUCUGAAAUUCUCUCAUGAUGCAGACAGACAUCUCGAUGUAUCAGAAUCAAAGACGAGCAGAUCAUCUGAACACCAACCAGACAAAACUCUGUGAAUCU